GCCUAAAUAGUAAAUAGUAAAUACUCCAAGGUCCCAGCUUCAGUCUGAUCUUGGAAGCUAAGCAACAUCAUUUCUGAUUAGUACUUAGAUGGGAGACCGUCAAUGAAUUCCUGGUUUUGUGGGCU
rnacentral:rRNA from 11 species